rnacentral:lncRNA from 1 species
UUUGGCACCACAAAUAAGCUAAACCUCAUUGGUACUGCUGAUUUGUUGGAGAGAUCCAGCAACACUAUGAGAGAAGAGGUGAAGUUGAACUUCAUCUAGAGAUGAAGAAGCUUUUAUUAUCUCUCAUAGACCUAAUGAAGAGACAAAGGCUCUGAGAAUGUCAAUGGAGGGGUUGAGGAGAAGAGUUGAGGGGACUUUUCAGAAAAGAACCAACUUUCAAUUCCAUAUCAGAAAAGAGGAGGCAGGGCAGGUACCUUCCUUUUGGUUAUGGGUUUUCUUCUUCUUCUUUUUUGCCCU